rnacentral:misc_RNA from 1 species
UUUGAACUUUUAAGUUUUCAGUUUUUAAUUUAUGUAUCAUUACAUGCAUGAGACUCCUAUGCUUAGAGGAAAUUUUAGGUUUUAAUUUGGGUACUAGUUAUUGAUUAACUUGCGAAUAGCGCCAACUUUUUAGUUACAAGACUUUUCAGUUUAAUUAAAUUGCUGUUGUGAUUAUGGGUUUUUUUUUUUUUAAAGGGGGGUACAUGUUUUUCGAAUUGAGUUUGUAAAAGGAAAUCUUGGUUGUGUAGUACAUUCGUUUGAUUAGCCGAUCCCUAUAAAUUUUUUGGUGAGUGAGUUGAGUUGAGUUGAGUACAUUCGUUUGACAUCGAUUUUGGGGUUUGAUUUUCACUGGAAAUUUUGGUUGUUAGUACAUGUUUUGAGAGCAAUUCAGCUGAAUUUGUUUUGUUGGUGCAGUUGUAAGGCUGUCGCAAA